UGGGGAAUAUUGCACAAUGGGCGCAAGCCUGAUGCAGCCAUGCCGCGUGUGUGAAGAAGGCCUUCGGGUUGUAAAGCACUUUCAGCGGGGAGGAAGGCGGUGAGGUUAAUAACCUCAUCGAUUGACGUUACCCGCAGCAGAAGCACCGGCUAACUCCGUGUCAGCAGCCGAGGUAAUACGGAGGGUGCAAGCGUUAAUCGGAAUUACUGGGCGUAAAGCGCACGCAGGCGGUCUGUCACGUCGGAUGUGAAAUCCCCGGGCUCAACCUUGGAACUGCAUUCGAAAAUGGCAGGCUAGAGUCGUGUAGAGGGGGGUAGAAGUCCAGGUGUAGCGGUGAAAUGCGUAGAGAUCUGGAGGAAUACCGGUGGCGAAGGCGGCCCCCUGGACGAAGACUGACGCUCAGGUGCGAAAGCGUGGGGAGCAAACAGG
rnacentral:rRNA from 1 species